rnacentral:rRNA from 1 species
CCUCCUGCAGCAUAAAGUAUAGGAGGUCCAGCCUGCCCAGUGACUACGGGUUCAACGGCCGCGGUAUAUUGACCGUGCAAAGGUAGCGCAAUCACUUGUCUUUUAAAUAGAGACCUGUAUGAAUGGCUAGACGAGGGCUUAACUGUCUCCCCCCUCCAGUCAGUGAAAUUGAUCUAUCCGUGCAGAAGCGGGUAUAAUACUACAAGACGAGAAGACCCUUUGGAGCUUAAGGUACAAAAUUCAGCCACGUUAAGCAACUCCUUAAGAAGCAAGAACUUAAUGGCCAUGAAGUUUUACCUUCGGUUGGGGCGACCACGGAGGAAAAGCAAGCCUCCGAGUGGACUGGGCCAACACCCCUAAAGCCAAAAGAGACAUCUUUAAGCCGCAGAAUAUCUGACCAAUAAGGAUCCGGCUAAAAAGCCGAUCAACGGACCAAGUUACCCUAGGGAUAACAGCGCAAUCCUCUCCCAGAGCCCAUAUCGACGAGGGGGUUUACGACCUCGAUGUUGGAUCAGGACAUCCUGGUGGUGCAGCCGCUAUUAAGGGUUCGUUUGUUCAACGAUUAAAGUCCUACGUGAUCU